rnacentral:rRNA from 1 species
UCUCGAAACCCAAAAAACUUGGCGGUAAUUCAAUUUAACUAGGGGAACUUGUAUAAUAAUCGAUAAUCCACGUUUUAUUUUACCUAAAUUAUAUUUUUAUGUAUUGCCGUCUUGAAAAUCUUUGAGAGUUUUAAAUUUUCUUUUAGAUUGUUUUUGUUUUUUAGGUCAGGUCAAAGUGUAGAUUAUAUUUAGGGUGGUAUGAGUUACAAUUAAAUUAUUAUUUUUGGAUUUUAUGAUGAAAUUUAUAAAUGAAAUUGGAUUUAGAAGUAAUUUUUUAUUAGUAAGAUGAGAUGAAUUUUUGACUCUGAUUUAUGU